rnacentral:rRNA from 1 species
AGUGAACGCUGGCGGUAGGCCUAACACAUGCAAGUCGAACGGCAGCACAGUAAGAUCUUGCUCUUACGGGUGGCGAGUGGCGGACGGGUGAGGAAUACAUCGGAAUCUACUUUUUCGUGGGGGAUAACGUAGGGAAACUUACGCUAAUACCGCAUACGACCUACGGGUGAAAGCAGGGGAUCUUCGGACCUUGCGCGAUUGAAUGAGCCGAUGUCGGAUUAGCUAGUUGGCGGGGUAAAUGCCCACCAAGGCGACGAUCCGUAGCUGGUCUGAGAGGAUGGUCAGCCACACUGGAAGGGAGACAGGGUCCAUAGUCCUACGGGAGGCCGCAGUGGGGAAUAUGGGGCAAUGGGCGGAAGCCUGAUCCAGCCAUACCGCGUGGGUGAAGAAGGCCUUCCGGUUGUAAAGCCCUUUUGUUGGGAAAGAAAAGCAGCAGGUUAAUACCCCGCUGUUCUGACGGUACCCAAAGAAUAAGCACCGGCUAACUUCGUG